rnacentral:rRNA from 1 species
UACGAAGGGGGCUAGCGUCGCUCGGAAUCACUGGGCGUAAAGGGUGCGUAGGCGGUUCUUUAAGUCAGGGGGGAAAUCCUGGAGCUCAACUCCAGAACUGCCUUUGAUACUGAGGAUCUUGAGUUCGGGAGAGGUGAGUGGAACUGCGAGUGUAGAGGUGAAAUUCGUAGAUAUUCGCAAGAACACCAGUGGCGAAGGCGGCUCACUGGCCCGAUACUGACGCUGAGGCACGAAAGCGUGGGGAGCAAACAGG